rfam:Gordonia amarae NBRC 15530 DNA, contig: GOAMR40.
UAGUGCCGGCGCGGUGAGGCCUCGGCCCGGAGCGACCCUGGCGUACUUCCCCAACGCCAGGUGCGUGUCCGGACCGGGACCUCUUCGCGCCGGAACCUCCUC